UCUGACGGAGCAACGCCGCGUGAGUGAUGAAGGUUUUCGGAUCGUAAAGCUCUGUUGUUAGGGAAGAACAAGUGCAAGAGUAACUGCUUGCACCUUGACGGUACCUAACCAGAAAGCCACGGCUAACUACGUGCCAGCAGCCGCGGUAAUACGUAGGUGGCAAGCGUUGUCCGGAAUUAUUGGGCGUAAAGGGCUCGCAGGCGGUUUCUUAAGUCUGAUGUGAAAGCCCCCGGCUCAACCGGGGAGGGUCAUUGGAAACUGGGAAACUUGAGUGCAGAAGAGGAGAGUGGAAUUCCACGUGUAGCGGUGAAAUGCGUAGAGAUGUGGAGGAACACCAGUGGCGAAGGCGACUCUCUGGUCUGUAACUGACGCUGAGGAGCGAAAGCGUGGGGAGCGAACAGGAUUAGAUACCCUGGUAGUCCACGCCGUAAACGAUGAGUGCUAAGUGUUAGGGGGUUUCCGCCCCUUAGUGCUGCAGCUAACGCAUUAAGCACUCCGCCUGGGGAGUACGGUCGCAAGACUGAAACUCAAAGGAAUUGACGGGGGCCCGCACAAGCGGUGGAGCAUGUGGUUUAAUUCGAAGCAACGCGAAGAACCUUACCAGGUCUUGACAUCCUCUGACAACCCUAGAGAUAGG
rnacentral:rRNA from 1 species